UACGAAGGGGGCUAGCGUUGCUCGGAAUCACUGGGCGUAAAGCGCACGUAGGCGGAUUGUUAAGUCAGGGGUGAAAUCCUGGAGCUCAACUCCAGAACUGCCUUUGAUACUGGCGAUCUCGAGUCCGGAAGAGGUGAGUGGAAUUCCUAGUGUAGAGGUGAAAUUCGUAGAUAUUAGGAAGAACACCAGUGGCGAAGGCGGCUCACUGGUCCGGUACUGACGCUGAGGUGCGAAAGCGUGGGGAGCAAACAGG
rnacentral:rRNA from 1 species